UAAGUUGCCAUUGUUAGCUGAGGCUGU
rnacentral:piRNA from 1 species